rnacentral:rRNA from 1 species
UACGUAGGUGGCAAGCGUUGUCCGGAAUUAUUGGGCGUAAAGCGCGCGCAGGCGGUCCUUUAAGUCUGAUGUGAAAGCCCUCGGCUCAACCGAGGAGGGUUAUUGGAAACUGGAGGACUUGAGUGCAGAAGAGGAAAGUGGAAUUCCAAGUGUAGCGGUGAAAUGCGUAGAGAUUUGGAGGAACACCAGUGGCGAAGGCGACUUUCUGGUCUGUAACUGACGCUGAGGCGCGAAAGCGUGGGGAGCAAACAGG